CAGCAGCCACGGUAAUACGGAGGGGGCUAGCGUUGUUCGGAAUUACUGGGCGUAAAGCGCACGUAGGCGGCUUGGUAAGUUAGAGGUGAAAGCCUGGAGCUCAACUCCAGAAUUGCCUUUAAGACUGCCGAGCUAGCAGGUGAGAGAGGUAAGUGGAAUUCCGAGUGUAGAGGUGAAAUUCGUAGAUAUUCGGAAGAACACCAGUGGCGAAGGCGGCUUACUGGCUCAUACUGGACGCUGAGGUGCGAAAGCGUGGGGAGCAAACAGGAUUAGAUACCCCAGUAGUCCCUGUCUCUUAUAC
rnacentral:rRNA from 1 species